GAAGUGUGCUCUACAGAUCUUGCUUAUGCCUACAUCCUAUGAAAUACCCUAUCCUCCAUCUGCUCCCUUAUCUCUAUAACAGCCAUAACCAUACUAAUAUUUAUUAUCUGAGAACCCUCUGCAUCCAAA